AGAGUUUGAUCCUGGCUCAGGACGAACGCUGGCGGCGCGCCUAACACAUGCAAGUCGAACGAGAGAGAAGGAGCCUGCUUCUUCGAUCGAGUGGCGAACGGGUGAGUAACGCGUGAGGAACCUGCCCCAAAGAGGGGGACAACAGUUGGAAACGACUGCUAAUACCGCAUAAGCCCACAGGUCGGCAUCGACCAGAGGGAAAAGGAGCAAUCCGCUUUGAGAUGGCCUCGCGUCCGAUUAGCUAGUUGGUGAGGUAAUGGCCCACCAAGGCGACGAUCGGUAGCCGGACUGAGAGGUUGAACGGCCACAUUGGGACUGAGACACGGCCCAGACUCCUACGGGAGCAGCA
rnacentral:rRNA from 1 species